UAAGGCGAUGGACUGCUAAUCCAUUGGGGUUUCCCCGCGUGAGUUCGAAUCUCAUCCUGAUCG
rnacentral:tRNA from 1 species